rnacentral:rRNA from 1 species
AUUGAACGCUGGCGGCAGGCCUAACACGUGCAAGUCGAGCGGAUGAAGGGAGCUUGCUCCUGGAUUCAGCGGCGGACGGGUGAGUAAUGCCUAGGAAUCUGCCUGGUAGUGGGGGAUAACGUCCGGAAACGGGCGCUAAUACCGCAUACGUCCUGAGGGAGAAAGUGGGGGAUCUUCGGACCUCACGCUAUCAGAUGAGCCUAGGUCGGAUUAGCUAGUUGGUGGGGUAAAGGCCUACCAAGGCGACGAUCCGUAACUGGUCUGAGAGGAUGAUCAGUCACACUGGAACUGAGACACGGUCCAGACUCCUACGGGAGGCAGCAGUGGGGAAUAUUGGACAAUGGGCGAAAGCCUGAUCCAGCCAUGCCGCGUGUGUGAAGAAGGUCUUCGGACUGUAAAGCACUUUAAGUUGGGAGGAAGGGCAGUAAGUUAAUACCUUGCUGUUUUGACGUUACCAACAGAAUAAGCACCGGCUAACUUCGUG